AGCUUUUCGAAUCCAUGCAGAGAUUUCGUCAGACACUAACCCACUAAGGCUGAUCAGACUUUCAAUAUAAGUGAAGUU
rfam:Schistosoma mattheei strain Denwood, Zambia genome assembly, scaffold: SMTD_scaffold0001245